rnacentral:lncRNA from 1 species
UUGAUGUCACACAACCUCAACACCAAUUCAGUUUCCCCGCUAUAUUUAGCGGGGAAACUGAAUUGGUGUUGAGGAAACAACCCUGCUAAAUGGCACAUGACUUCAUGCCACGUCACUCACAAACAAAUUCAGUUCCUCAGCUAGAUUUAGCAGAAAAAUUGACAUUGCGUGACCUCAACACAAAUUCAAUUUCUCACUAAAUUCAGCAAGGUGAUCAUGCAGACGGCGACGCAAUGAAGCGUGGAAAUGGGCACCUAAGAGCUGCACUCUAAACCAGUUUUUCUCUGUUGCCGGUGCACAAGCAGGUAAUGUGCAUCCAACGUUCCACUGGAUCUGUCCAAAGGGCAGGCUGAUACUGCGGCAGACGCCACUGAGCGGACACACUGCAAAAAGGCGUCGGGCGUUUUCCGAAGUUUGUCAACUGACCUAGAUCUGAGAACGUUGGUACAUGUAUUGCUACCGUUGCCAAGCAGGACUGGAGAUUGUUAGAGUGUGAACAAUGUUCACACUUUGGUCAAUGCAAGCACAUCUUUUUUUUUUAGUAAUAUUGACUAACAAGAUUGCAGCAAUCAAACAAGUUAACACCGAAAUGUUAAAAGCAAUAAAGAAAUUAAAGCCCG